rnacentral:snRNA from 1 species
UUCCUCUACGCCUAGGACACCAGA